AUCAAGCUGAUGAGGAUGCAAGUGCUAAAAUCGAAAGUUGCAUAAUUUGUAUAAUUUUUUAAACUCAAUAAGUAUUUAUGACAUUAAAUAUGUUUAUUUAUUAGUUUUGAAAUAAACUUAUGACUAAGAAUAUUUAAUAUAAUUGAUUGUUGGAUAUUGUAGUCUCGGCUUGAGGAAAUACAAUCUCAAAUUCAAGGAGAAAGCAGGUGCAGAAAAAAUUACAGAAAUUUUAGGAAAAGAAAAAUCUGGACAUGUGCAUUUCUACGAAAGAGGGGUCAUCCAAAAGGAUUUAUGAAAAAGAUCAAUUUAUGAUGAUCAUUCCAAGAGAGCCCAACAGUAAGAGAUAGAUAACUUCAAAAAAAUUAUACAGAAGAAUAUGCAGAAGAAGUUUGAUGAAGAGAGAGAGUAAAUAUGGUCCAAAAAUUUGAUGAAGAGAGAGUACAUAUGGCUCAUGAAUUUCAAAUGAUGCUUUCACAAUUACAGUAGAAUAAUCCAGAAUUAGUUAUUCCCCAAGGAUUAACUGACUUUUUAUUAGUGAAUGAUCGAUCUCGUGAUGAUGCUACUAGUAAAAUUGGGAUACCACGCAUGCAUGAACCAUCUUCAGCUGAUGCACAUGAUUCUUCUUCUUUAUAGAUACAUGCUUCAGUGGGAGAUUUAAUGUUAUGGAUAAAGAAGAUCAUCCAUCGAGAAGACAACCAAGAAAAAAUACAAUGACUAUUGAACAUUGUUUUUUAUAUUUUCUUUGAAUGUUAGUAGUUAAAUGUUGAUGGUAUAUGAAGUUAUGGACUACAUUUUGGUUUUCAUACACUAUUGAGAUUUUGUCAUGAUAAAUAUAUUUUGCAACUA